rnacentral:lncRNA from 10 species
AUGAUGUUGCUUAUAGUUUUCUUCCACUAAAUGAUCAUAUUGAACAGAAGUUCCUGGGUACAUGUGCAAGACGUGCAGGUUUGUUACAUAGGUAAACGUGUGCUAUGAUGGUUUGCUUCACCUAUCAACCCAUUGUCUCUGGAAUCGGUGGUUUUUUGGUCUCACUGACUUCAAGAAUGAAGCCGCAGACCCUGCCGAUGACAAUUCAUGAGCUCUCCUGUGGAGAAGACUCCAGCCUGUGAGGAACUGAGUCCUGUGUCCAACAACAUGUGAGGAACCGCUAAGUCUUUGAAUGAUCUCGGAAGAUAAUCUCCCAGUUGAGCUUUCAGAUGACUGCAGUCCUGGCUGACACCUUAAUUGUCGCUUCAUGAAAUCCAGAGUCACAGGGCCUGGGAAAAGACAUCCGUGUCCUUAAACAUGGAAAAUGUUAGAUAAUAAAUGUUACUGUUAAUAAGAUAUUAAAUUUUGAGAUGACUUGUUAUGCAGGCAUAGAUAACUAAUACAAUCUUUUUAAAAACAAAAGCUAAAAAACCCCAUAAGCUUGGAUAAAAAAACAUUGUAAUAUGUAUACAUUAAUAAUUACAUAAAACCAAUAAAUCAAAUAGCAAAAUAUAGUCUUUAUAAAUAUUAGUACCUGUAUUUAAUCAUCUAUUAAAAUCAUUUAAAAUAUAAAUAACCCUAUGAUAAAGAUAAAGUUUGUAAAUAUAUUAUUCACGCAUAGGCAUGUAAUAGUCCAAACAAUACAUAAAUAUAAUUAUAUUUGUUAAUGCUAAAAUCUAUUAAAUGUCAUAGCAUUUUACUUAUGCAUUUAUCAAAAUUUUGUAAACAUGGUAAGGUACUGUUCAAAAUUGACUUGCCACUGCCAAUUAUGGCUAAAGAAAGUAUAUUUUUUUCUUACAGACAUUUUUGAAGAGCUAAUAGGAACCAUUAAAAUAUGUCACCAUUUUAAUCCUAUAGUUUAAUAUUACUAUAGAUUAUUAAAGGUAUUGGAGACUGGUAAAAGACUUAAGAAAUAAUCCAUCAUAUAUUUUGCCAUUUAAACAAUCAUUUUAACAUAAAUGAAUGUUAAAUAACCAUUUUAAAAUAUAUUUUUUAAGUGCAAAUCGCAUAAGAUCAUAUAAAUGUGUAUAAAGACAAAGGUAGGGAAAACAACAAAAAAUUAAAUCAUAUAUUUAAUGAAAAUAGUUUAAAAGAAUAUUCAAUUCAGAUUUUCACAGCCCAACAUGAUGUUAUUCAUACAUACUUUUAUGUAAAACUGAAUAAUUUAACUUUUUAACAAGUUCAGAUUAUGAUGUAAUGGUUACUGGGGUCAUAUGUGGACAGAUCAUAAACUUGUGGGUUUUAAGAAAUUUUUACUACAAGAAACAAAUAUAUACUUAUUCCCAAACACAUCAAGUUGUAUACAUUAAAUAUCUAAAGCUUUUUGUAGGUCAUCACACCUAAAUAAAGCAUUUUUAAAAAGAUUACAUUUCUAUUAAAACUUAAGUAUUAAAGUACUAAAACUGAAGUACUAAAGUACUAAAAUAAAUUUGGCCCAAGCUGUUGCUCAAGUUCUGGCUGGACUGCUGACAGGGAGGGGAAUGGGGCAAGAACAUUAGUUUCUCCUGACCAAACUGGAGUGGCCAGCCAUCAAAGAGUUGGCUCCACAAAGGGCCUUUAAAUUGCUGGCAAUUGAAACACACAUAUAUUAUUUGCCUUAAUUGUUCUCAAACAUUUCUUAAUAUCAAUUUGAGAUGUUGCAAUCUUUUCCUCAUGUUUUCAGAAUUAACUGGAAAACGACGACUGCAGUGGCAGUAGUGGGGAGUGGUAAUCGAGCAGAUCUGGGUUCUGGUGGCAUGAUGAUCACAGAACUAUUAAAGCAAGCUCAUGAAUAGGAGAUUAAAGCACAAGGCCUCAAAUAUCCUGCUUAUAAGCACAUAUUAGUCAGUGCCCCAUAGACCUCUUAGAAGAUAGGGGGACACACUGAAGGGAAGCUGAGACAGCCUGGGGGUAAGCAGGGAAAGAGAGCGUAAAGAGAGUAACAAAGAAAAUGUGCCAAUAUAUAAAAAUAUGGCUACUUCACAAUGGUGAAAUUACGGAAUCAUUUUUUAUUUGCAGCCUCCCUUUUUUUUCUCCAACCAUGCAUGUGAUGAGAAGCAGGAGAAAGUUAAUCCAACUUAUUAAAAACUAGAAACAU